UCUCAGCCUCUAUCGCUAGUGCUCUGUGCCGCUUCUUACACAAGCCACGUGUUCUUUCCCAGGGCCCAUGAGAAGACAGGGAGACACUUCUGUUCAGUGAGAGUCAAUCAGAAAUCCUUGUGGCCUUUCUACUGACAGCGAUCUGCAGAGGAUGCUUCCAAGUCAGGUGAGAGGUUGGAGGAUAAAAGAAACACACCUCCAGACAUUCUCCAGAUAAAAUAGCGCUCCAGUUUUCAUCCCAAAAGACCAAUUCUAUUGUUGUUGAAAAUAUAAGGACUUCAUCAUGGUUCAAGACUCAACAUCAAGUAGGCUUGGAUGAGUAAGACACAGACCUUGAACCUAACUUCCAACAAGGCAAUUGGAAGAGGAAGAAGAGAGGAUGUCACAGUCUAGUGCUGUGACAUCCCUUGACCUUUUACAUGCAUUUUGUUUUCUUUAUUAAAGUAUAUUUGAUUUACAA